UUAAGGUACAACAAUCAACAAAAUCCACUAGGCAUCUUUAUAAAAUAAAGAUUAUAAAAAUAAAGAUGCCUAGUGGAUUUUGUUGAUUGUUGUACCUUAAUUUAU